AUUGAACGCUGGCGGCAUGCUUUGCACAUGCAAGUCGAACGGUAACAGGCCGCAAGGUGCUGACGAGUGGCGAACGGGUGAGUAAUGCAUCGGAACGUGCCCAGUCGUGGGGGAUAACGCAGCGAAAGCUGCGCUAAUACCGCAUACGAUCUAUGGAUGAAAGCGGGGGACCGUAAGGCCUCGCGCGAUUGGAGCGGCCGAUGUCAGAUUAGGUAGUUGGUGGGGUAAAGGCUCACCAAGCCAACGAUCUGUAGCUGGUCUGAGAGGACGACCAGCCACACUGGGACUGAGACACGGCCCAGACUCCUACGGGAGGCAGCAGUGGGGAAUUUUGGACAAUGCGCGCAAGCCUGAUCCAGCAAUGCCGCGUGCAGGAAGAAGGCCUUCGGGUUGUAAACUGCUUUUGUACGGAACGAAAAGGCUCUGGUUAAUACCUGGGGCUCAUGACGGUACCGUAAGAAAAAGCACCGGCUAACUACGUGCCAGCCGCCGCAGUAAAAC
rnacentral:rRNA from 1 species